UACGGGAGGCAGCAGUGGGGAAUAUUGCACAAUGGGCGCAAGCCUGAUGCAGCCAUGCCGCGUGUAUGAAGAAGGCCUUCGGGUUGUAAAGUACUUUCAGUCGUGAGGAAGGUGUUAAGGUUAAUAACCUUAGCAAUUGACGUUAGCGACAGAAGAAGCACCGGCUAACUCCGUGCCAGCAGCCGCGGUAAUACGGAGGGUGCGAGCGUUAAUCGGAAUUACUGGGCGUAAAGGGCACGCAGGCGGUUAAUUAAGUUGGAUGUGAAAUCCCCGGGCUUAACCUGGGAAUGGCAUUCAAGACUGGUUAGCUAGAGUCUUGUAGAGGGGGUAGAAUUCCAUGUGUAGCGGUGAAAUGCGUAGAGAUGUGGAGGAAUACCGGUGGCGAAGGCGGCCCCUGGGACAAGACUGACGCUCAUGUGCGAAAGCGUGGGGAGCAAACAGGAUUAGAUACC
rnacentral:rRNA from 1 species